rnacentral:tRNA from 1 species
GGAGCGAUGGCAGAGCGGCUGAAUGCACCGGUCUUGAAAACCGGCAUACCGCAAGGUAUCGGGGGUUCAAAUCCCUCUCGCUCCG